GAGAGGUGCUUUCUGUUACUGAUUCAGUCAAUGGCUUAGAGGUAAUAUACGUCUCUCAUAUGCGAUUGCGGUGACUCGCUUUUCCAGAUUUGCUCUCUCCGACGAUGCUUCAACGUCUUUGAUCGAAUCAGGUCCAAGAGAACAAUCAGGAAAAUCCCAGUGGUCUUGCAGGACUCGAACCGAUGAUCUUUAAGAAGAAUCCCCAAAGACCCAAGCUUUAUUGCUACUUGAGGGGUUGAGCCAACCCACAAAGCUUUCUACGCUUACCGAUUGAUGAAGGAAGGUUCAAGACAAGAACAUCGUUGGUUUGAAAAACCUGCGGUUUCAUAAUAUGGAUAUCGAGAGCAUCAAGUUAUGGCACAGUAAAUCCUUAUCUUGCCACAUUCUUCAUCAUCAAAAUAGAAUGCAGCUAGUACCUUCUUUUUACUUAAGACAAUUGGUUUCGAGGUGAUAUAAUUACACAAACUGGUGAGGGUUCGAGUCUGAGAGACACAGUUUGGGAGUCACAAUUCCUUUGGGCAUUGGGCUCCUAAGCCAGCCACCUAGCAAACUGUUAUGAACCUGGUUUAUCUCUCACAUGAUACUCUUUCGGGAGAGGCCGGCUCAAGUAGUCGGGUUACCGCCUUCCCUGUAAGAAACCGUUUAUUGCCCAAUCAGGACUUGCAUCCCUACCUGGGUUCUAAGUUCACACAACCACACGUAUCUUGUCAAAUUGGUAUACUUGUCUUAAUAUUACAUGUUUUUAAUUUAUUUUACAUUCAACUCCUGUGAUCUUGAAGAUUUAUCUUUCACUUGCUGGCAAUAUUUGGACCCAAUU